UAUCAAUAAGCGGAGGAAAAGAAACCAACAGGGAUUGCCCUAGUAACGGCGAGUGAAGCGGCAACAGCUCAAAUUUGAAAUCUGGCGCAAGCCCGAGUUGUAAUUUGUAGAGGAUGCUUCUGGGUAGCGGCCGGUCUAAGUUCCUUGGAACAGGACGUCACAGAGGGUGAGAAUCCCGUAUGUGAUCGGCCCGCGCCCUCUACGUAGCUCCUUCGACGAGUCGAGUUGUUUGGGAAUGCAGCUCUAAAUGGGAGGUAAAUUUCUUCUAAAGCUAAAUACCGGCCAGAGACCGAUAGCGCACAAGUAGAGUGAUCGAAAGAUGAAAAGCACUUUGGAAAGAGAGUUAAAAAGCACGUGAAAUUGUUGAAAGGGAAGGGCUUGCAACCAGACUUGACGGCGGUGUUCCCCCGGGCUUCUGCCCGGGUUAUUCACCGUCGGCAGGCCAUCAUCGUCUGGGGCCGCUGGAGAAACCGUCAGGAAUGUGGCUCCCUCGGGAGUGUUAUAGCCUGUCGACAUGCAGCGUGCCCCGGGCGAGGUCCGCGCUUAGGCAAGGAUGAUGGCGUAAUGGUUGUCAGCCGCCCGUCUUGAAACACGGACCAAGGAGUCUAACAUCUAUGCGAGUGUUCGGGUGUCAAACCCCUACGCGUAAUGAAAGUGAACGGAGGUGGGAGCUUCGGCGCACCAUCGACCGAUCCUGAUGUCCUCGGAUGGAUUUGAGUAAGAGCAUAGCUGUUGGGACCCGAAAGAUGGUGAACUAUGCCUGAAUAGGGUGAAGCCAGAGGAAACUCUGGUGGAGGCUCGCAGCGGUUCUGACGUGCAAAUCGAUCGUCAAAUUUGGGUAUAGGGGCGAAAGACUAAUCGAACCAUCUAGUAGCUGGUUCCUGCCG
rnacentral:rRNA from 1 species